rnacentral:rRNA from 1 species
UGGGGAAUAUUGCACAAUGGGGGAAACCCUGAUGCAGCCAUGCCGCGUGUGUGAAGAAGGCCUUCGGGUUGUAAAGCACUUUCAGUGGGGAGGAAGGGCUGAUGACUAAUAUUCAUCAGCAUUGACGUUACCCACAGAAGAAGCACCGGCUAACUCCGUGCCAGCAGCCGCGGUAAUACGGAGGGUGCAAGCGUUAAUCGGAAUAACUGGGCGUAAAGCGCACGCAGGCGGUUAGAUAAGUCAGAUGUGAAAGCCCCGGGCUCAACCUGGGAACUGCAUUUGAAACUGUCUGACUAGAGUCUUGUAGAGGGGGGUAGAAUUCCAGGUGUAGCGGUGAAAUGCGUAGAGAUCUGGAGGAAUACCGGUGGCGAAGGCGGCCCCCUGGACAAAGACUGACGCU